CACAGAACCAGAGCAAACAUAUCAUUCAUUGAUUGCUGGGCAAUUUGAGGCUAAUAUAAGAAAGGCUGGCUCUUUGGUUGAGGUGCCAUGUCUAUAAAGGUCACUAAACAAAAAUUCUAAGAAAUAAACAUUUCCAGAAGCCCUGAUAUCCUCAUGAACUCACCGAAGUUGGAAGUUCCUGAGUCACUGCCAUCUGCCUAGUGACUAUUUUUCUAAACUUCCAAGAAUGAAACAUCUUAGACACUUUUGCCUGCCAUAGACACAAAAGUCAUGGAUGACAUAACGAGAAGGAGUCCUCUUACCCACAGAGGGCUUUGGAAGCCCAGAUGAGAAGUUCUCAAACCUAUCUACAAAAGACUUUUCCAUCUGAGACAUGGAAGGGACACCAUUAACAGA
rnacentral:lncRNA from 1 species